ensembl:piRNA 21ur-12021 ncRNA
UUGAAUUCCAAAUUCAUUACA